UAAAUUGAAUAGUCGCUGGUAAAUUCCGAAAGGAAUUACGAGAGGAAAGUCCGGGCUCCAUAGAGCAAAGAUGCUAGAUAACGUCUAGUGAGGGUAACCUUAAGGAAAGUGCAACAGAAAAGAACCGCCAAAAAUGGUAAGGGUGAAAAGGCGAGGUAAGAGCUCACCAGCAUUAUGGUAACAUAGUGUGUUUGUGUAAACCCCAUCUGGAGCAACACCUAAAAUAGAAGAUUAAGCCUGCUCGGCGCCUUCUAAAAUUGAAAGUGGCUUGAGAUAAAUAGCAAUAUUUAUCCUAGAUAAAUGACUAUUUUAAAUGACAGAACCCGGCUUACAGAUUUACUCUU
rnacentral:RNase_P_RNA from 1 species